AUACGUAGGGUGCGAGCGUUGUCCGGAAUUACUGGGCGUAAAGAGCUCGUAGGUGGUUUGUCGCGUCGUCUGUGAAAUUCCGGGGCUUAACUCCGGGCGUGCAGGCGAUACGGGCAUAACUUGAGUACUGUAGGGGAGACUGGAAUUCCUGGUGUAGCGGUGAGAUGCGCAGAUAUCAGGAGGAACACCGGUGGCGAAGGCGGGUCUCUGGGCGGUAACUGACGCUGAGGAGCGAAAGCCUGGGUAGCGAACAGGAUGAGAUACCCUGGUAGUCCAUGCCGUAAACGGUGGGCGCUAGGUGUAGGGGUCUUCCACGACUUCUGUGCCGUAGCUAACGCAUUAAGCGCCCCGCCUGGGGAGUACGGCCGCAAGGCUAAAACUCAAAUGAAUUGGCGGGG
rnacentral:rRNA from 1 species